CUACGGGGCGCUGCAGUGAGGAAUUUUGCGCAAUGGGGGGAACCCUGACGCAGCAACGCCGCGUGAGUGAUGAAGGCUUUCGGGUCGUAAAGCUCUGUCAAGUGGGAAGAACCUAUGCAGUGUUAAUAUCACUGUAUACUGACGGUACCACUGAAGGAAGCACCGGCUAACUCCGUGCCAGCAGCCGCGGUAAUACGGGGGGUGCAAGCGUUAUUCGGAUUCAUUGGGCGUAAAGGGCACGUAGGCGGCUUGGUAAGUCAGAUGUGAAAGCCCGGGGCUUAACCCCGGAAGUGCAUUUGAUACUGUCAGGCUUGAGUAUGGGAGAGGGAAGUGGAAUUCCUGGUGUAGGGGUGAAAUUCGUAGAUAUCAGGAGGAACACCGGUGGCGAAGGCGACUUCCUGGACCAAUACUGACGCUGAGGUGCGAAGGCGUGGGUAGCAAACAGGAUUAGAUACCCUAGUAGUC
rnacentral:rRNA from 1 species